UAGAGUUGGAACCGGAAGGUUCCCAGAGUUAGAACCAGAGGGUUCACAGAGUAGGGUCUACGGACCCACAGAGUUAUAGCCUCGAGUGGCUAAUAUGUGUUAUGUGUGGUAUUUUGGGGAACUCACUAAGCUUUGUGCUUACAGUGUUGGUGUUAUUUGUUUCAGGUACUAGUGAUGACCGUGGGAAGGCGCCGGCUUGAUCAGUACACACACACGGGAUUUUUAUGAUAUGUGAUCUUGGGAUUCUUUGUAUGACAUGGAUUGGAGUUUCAAACAUUGAUGUUUUAUGAAAAUUAAAUGAAUAUGUUUUUAUAUUAUGCGAAAAAUUAUUUUGAAAUUUACGGUGUUACAAGUUGGUAUCAGAGCCUUGGUUUGAGGGAUUCGAGUACACCUUCGGGCGUAUUUGAACUCAAACUGAGGAUUUGAGAAGUAUUUUCAAAAAGAGUAAAAGAUUUUUGGAAAAACGCAGAGCAGAGUUGUGUGUACGAUCAGUCCGCGCCCGAACGGUGAUUUCCCAAAAUACCCUCAUGUUAUGUGAUAUUGAUAUUGAUAUGAUGUAUUCUCAUGCUAGAGUAGGCUAGGUACUCCUAUUAGGACUAGAGUGGCCUGAUUUGUGAUGCCUUAGCCUAGGGAGAGGUGAGCUGCUAUGAGAUGCUUGAGAGUGAGUAGGUAGCAGCGAGGGGCUUAUGAGAGAUCUGUUAGAGAGUGGAUUAUGCAUGAUAGAGUACUUGGAAUUUGGGAUCCGAAGAGGAGGACUUGGGGUGUAUUCUGAUACGGUGCGGACAGUAGUAUUGGGCCCGUACUACUGAAAGCACCGGAGCGGUGUACAGCCCAAGUAAGAAUCUUUGGAAUACCAAGGAUCAAGGAGGGAUGAGUUGUCGAGUGUGAGUAUGCUCGAAUGGAUUCUAAUUUAUCGUAUGUUGUAUUUCAGAGGUAGAUCAUGGUGAGGACACGUCUGAUGCCUGAGAGCAGUGGGGCCAGUGAUGAGGAGAUCCGCCGGAUCAUCCAUGAGGAGGUGGCUGCGGCCAUCAGGGCAGAGAUACCAGAGAUGUUCGGGUCUAUUAAGACCACGUUGAUUGAGACCUUCGACGAGCGUUAUGCCGCUCUUUCUGAGGCUGCUGUUGCAGCGGCCACCGCAGCUAUUGCUGCCGCGAGGCCGCAGGGUGGUGAUGCGUUGCUGUUCCGAGAGUUCAGCAACACAAAACCACCAGAGUUUGAUGGGACCCAGGACCCGGUGGCGGCUAUGAGAUGGAUUUCUGACAUAGAGGGGUGUUUCUUCACUUGCUCAUCUCCUGAGCAUUUGAGAGUUCGGUUCGCGCUGAACCAGCUUCGCUUGGGAGCGAAGGACUGGUGGAAGUUUGUGACGGCGCACUUUACGCCUGCUGAGCUUGCGGCAGUGACCUGGGAGAGGUUCACUGCCAUGUUCCGAGAUGAGUACGUUCCCCAGGUGGAGAGGGAGCGUUUGGCCCAGGAGUUUCUGACCCUCAAGCAGGGUACUGAGUCUGUUACGGUGAUUACCAGGAUGUUCCAUGAGAGGGCGAUGUUCUGCCCUGAGCACGUGUCCACGGAGCAGGCACGUAUGAGCCGAUAUUUGAGUAUCUUGAGGCGAGACAUUCGGGAGUUCGCGGCGAACUCCUCGUACCGGACAUUUGCCGAGCUUCAGGCAAAUGCCCGGAAGAGGGAGAUUGAGCUAGAGACUCAGGCCAGGGAGGAGGCGGAGUCUCAGGGGAGGGAUCGGCGACCGGCACAGUCUCAGCCGGCAGCCAAGCGGGCCAAGCCCGCUGAUCCCAAACCAGGGAGCCAGAAGGGCCGCACUUGUGGGAAGUGUGGCAAGGGUCAUGAUGGAGUCUGCAGAGCGGGAUCUUGCUACAAGUGUGGCAAGGAGGGGCACAUGGCCAAGGACUGCCCCAAGGGGUUUGCGGUGUGUUUUCACUGCAACCAGACCGGACACCGGAAGGCAGAGUGUCCGCAAUUGCGAGGAUCAUCUCAGGGAGCACCUCAGGGAUCUGCCCCUGCCGCCAUCAGAGCUACCGAGAGUCGGCCAGUGAAGGCCGAGGCGCCGAGGGCACGAGGGAGAGCUUUUCAGCUGACCGCGGAGGAGGUCCGCGCAGCGCCCGAUGUCGUGGCUGGUAUGUAUUCUUUCGUGUAUUUAUUUUGAUGUUGAGAUAUUAUGCUUAUAUUAUGUUAUGCGUAGGUACUUUUCUUGUGAAUUCUGUACCUGCCUUGGUGUUAUUUGACUCGGGUGCGAGUCGGUCUUUUGUAUCUUUGGCUUUUAGUCAGCAUAUCAGUGUUAGUCGUGAGGCGUUGAGUCGGCCUCUGAGAGUUUCCAUAGCUGAUGAGAGGGUGAUAUAUGCCACGGAGGUUCUCCGAGGUUGCGUAGUCGAGAUUUUCGGUGUUGAGUUCCCGAUUGAUCUGGUUCCUAUUGCGAUGGGUGAUGUCUGUGUCAUUGUGGGCAUGGACUGGUUGAGCAGAUUCGGUGCGGUUAUCGACUGCGAGCGACAGCUGGUGACCAUACGAGACCCUAGUGGGGGAGUUCUUUCGGUGUACGGCGAGGGUACACGUUCAGGAUCAGCGUUUUGUUCGGCCGCUAGGGCGAGGCAGUGUCUACAGCAGGGCUGUAAGGGUUUUGUGGCGUAUGUGAUGGAUACGCGGGUGGAUUCCGAGAGGCCGAGUUCAGUUGAGGAGGUUCCGGUGGUGCGUGAGUUCCCGGAUGUAUUUCCCGAGGAGUUGCCGGGUGUGCCUCCUGUGAGGCAAGUGGAGUUCAGUAUCGAUUUGGUUCCGGGGGCCGCGCCUAUCGCUAAGGUGCCUUAUCGCCUUGCACCUCCAGAGAUGCAAGAGUUAUCCUCGCAGCUUCAGGAGCUGCUGGGGAAGGGAUUUAUUCGGCCGAGCAGCUCGCCGUGGGGAGCGCCUAUCCUGUUUGUCAAGAAGAAGGAUGGUUCACACCGGAUGUGCAUUGAUUACCGGGAGUUGAACAAGCUGACGGUCAAGAACCGUUACCCGUUGCCGAGGAUCGACGAUUUGUUCGAUCAGUUGCAGGGAGCAUCUUGGUUUUCCAAGAUCGAUUUGAGGUCGGGAUAUCAUCAGGUGAGGGUGCGGGAUGAGGACGUCCAGAAGACAGCGUUCAGGACGCGUUAUGGGCAUUAUGAGUUUGUGGUGAUGCCUUUUGGGCUCACCAAUGCCCCGGCAGUGUUCAUGGAUCUCAUGAACCGAGUGUGUAGGCCGAUGCUGGAUCGGUCAGUGAUUGUGUUUAUCGACGACAUUCUGGUAUAUUCGAGAUCUAGAGAGCAGCAUGAGGAGCAUUUGAGAGAGGUUCUCGGAGUUCUGAGAUCGGAGAGGCUUUAUGCCAAAUUCUCCAAGUGUGAUUUCUGGUUGCGGGAGGUCCAGUUCUUAGGACAUCUCGUUAACCAGGAAGGGAUAUUGGUCGAUCCGGCCAAGGUUGAGGCGGUGAUGAGUUGGGAGGUGCCGAGGUCACCCUCCGAGAUCAGGAGUUUCCUAGGGUUGGCAGGGUAUUAUCGGAGAUUUAUCAAGGAUUUCUCUAAGAUCGCAGUGCCACUCACCAGAUUGACCCGGAAGGGUGUUGCUUUUUCAUGGGGCCCCGAGCAGCAGGCCUCCUUUGAGACACUUCGCCAAAGGUUGUGCGAAGCCCCGGUGUUAGCUCUCCCGGAAGGGAUGGAGGACUUUGUGGUAUACUGUGAUGCAUCGAUUUUGGGAUUGGGAGCGGUGCUGAUGCAGAGAGGGCAUGUGAUAGCAUAUGCAUCGAGGCAGCUGAAGCCUCAUGAGACGAGAUAUCCCACCCAUGAUCUAGAGUUGGGGGCAGUGGUGUUCGCCCUCAAGAUUUGGCGUCACUACUUGUAUGGGGUUCGGUGUACGAUAUACACGGACCAUAAGAGUUUGAAGUAUUUGAUGGAUCAGCCCAACCUAAAUAUGCGUCAGAGAAGGUGGUUGGAUGUGGUCAAGGAUUAUGAUUGUGAGAUCCUGUACCACCCAGGCAAGGCUAAUGUGGUAGCCGAUGCAUUGAGCCGCAGGGCGGAGAGCACCCCGCUGCGGGAGGUAUGUUUGAGAUUGACCGUGAUAGCUCCAGUGUUGGACGCCAUUCGUGGGGCACAGGCCGAGGCUGUGCAACCUGAGAUGCAGAAGAGGGAACGGGUUGUUGGUUUGGUUUCAGAGUUCGUUACCGAUGGUCGGGGGCUUAUGACAUUUCAGGGGCGUAUCUGGGUGCCGUUUGUGGGAGGAACGCGUACCAUUUUGAUGGAGGAGGCUCAUCGGUCGAAAUUUUCGAUCCAUCCGGGGGCCACUAAGAUGUAUUUGGAUCUGAGAAAGGAGUAUUGGUGGCCCUGUAUGAAGAGGGAUGUCGCGUGGUUUGUUGAGAGGUGCUUGACCUGCCGUAGGGUUAAGGCCGAGCACCAGAGGCCGCAUGGUAAGUUGCAGCCAUUGGAGGUUCCCGAAUGGAAGUGGGAACAGAUCACUAUGGAUUUCAUCACCAAAUUGCCAAGGACUGCCAGAGGAGUUGAUGCAAUUUGGGUGAUUGUGGACAGGUUGACGAAGAGCGCUCACUUCCUUGCUAUCAGCGAGAGUUCUUCAGCAGAGAAAUUGGCAGAGGUGUAUGUGAGGGAAGUGGUAUCUCGGCAUGGGGUGCCGAUCUCGAUUGUUUCAGACCGUGAUGUGCGUUUCACUUCCAGAUUCUGGAAGAAGUUUCAUGAGGAGUUGGGUACUAGACUGCAUUUUAGUACCGCAUAUCAUCCCCAGACAGACGGUCAGAGUGAGCGGACGAUUCAGACGCUCGAGGACAUGCUCCGGGCAUGUGUGUUGGAUUUCGAGGGAAGUUGGGAUGCAUAUUUGCCCUUGGCAGAGUUUUCAUACAACAACAGCCAUCAUUCGAGCAUUGGUAUGCCUCCCUUUGAGCUGUUGUAUGGGAGGAGGUGUCGGACCCCCAUUUAUUGGGGAGAGGUUGGACAACAGGUGAUGGGUAGUACAGAGAUCGUGCUUUAGACGAUAGAGCAGAUCCAGCAGGUCGGACAGAGGUUGUUGACCGCUUAGAGUCGUCAGAAGAGUUAUGCAGACAGACGUCGGUCCGAGCUUGAGUUUCAGGUCGGUGACCUUGUACUCUUGAAGGUCUCUCCUUGGAAAGGAGUGAUUUGAUUUAGGAAGAAGGGCAAGUUGGGGCCCAUAUAUAUUGGUCCAUUCCGAGUGAUCACGAGGGUAGGCCGGGUAGCCUAUCAUUUGGAUUUGCCAGCAAAGUUGGGGCAGAUUCACGACACUUUCCAUGUGUCGCAACUGCGGAAGUGUAUAGCCGAUGAGUCGGCAGUGGUUCCAUUAGAGGAUAUUCAGGUGGAUGCGAGCCUGAAUUAUGCUGAGAGACCAGUGGCAAUCAGAGAUCGGAAAAUCAAGGUUCUGAGGAACAAGGAGGUACCCUUGGUUUUGGUUCAGUGGCAACAUCGGAAGGGGUCCGAGAUGACUUGGGAGCCGGAGCGUGAGAUGCAUGAGCAGCAUCCGGAGUUAUUUGCAGAGCGAGACUUCGAGGGCGAAGUCUAGUUCUAGUGGGGGAGAAUUGUAACAGCCCGGAUUCCCAGGUAUUAUUCAUUCUUAUAUUUUUUUGGCAUUUUGUGAGGAUACUCGACGAGUUGAAGCUCAGAAUCGCCGAGUAGGAUCGCGGUUUGGACGCGGGUUCGCGCCUGGACUCAGCGAGUCCAAGGAGUGGACUCGGCGAGUCCACGCUGUUUAAUGAAACCCUAAAUCCCCGGGUUUGGAGCCUAUUUAAGGGCACUUAUAGCCUCCCAUUGCGGCUACCAGUCCCUUGAGAGAACCCUAAGAGAGCUAAUUCGUUUUGGGAGAGAAGAAGUCACUUUUGGGCCUUUGUAUUCCUUGUUUAGCAAGAAGAAGGUGGCAAGAGCAAAGAGGAGGUGAGAUUCUAGCAGAUCCAGAGUCCAGAGGCUUCAUUUUGAGGUAAUGAUUCGAAUCUCCUUCAGUUUUAGGGUUGGUCUUUAGAGUUAGGGUUUUAUAAUUCCUUUGAAGAGUGAUUAUGUGAAGCAAAUGGUCCCUCUUCGAGUUUGUGCCUUGGAUCUGGACUCAAAGAGGUCCAGAGACCUUAACCCUUGGGGCUUUUUGGGUUAUUAUGGAGUUAUUAGACCUAGGUGGUCAUUUUUGGGACCAAAUCAUCUUUUGAUGCCUUGUGGGGGUUAUACAAGCAUCAAGUUCCAAACUUUACGUGACAUUCAUGCUUGGGGAGGCUAGAUCUAUGGUUUGGGAAAGCAGAUCUGACCUCAGAAGGUCAAUAGAGUUUGUGCAUGGCAUGAACUCGCCGAGUUGUUCUUGAGACUCGGCGAGUAGGGUUGGGGUUUCACGUAAAGUGUUCAUCGAGUGGACUCGCCGGGUUGGGGGUUGACCCAGUGAGUCAGGGAGAGUCAUUAGGGGGCUGAGUCAAGCCUGAACUCGCCGAGUUGUUCUUGAGACUCGGCGAGUUGAGUCGUGGUGGCCCCGCGAUUCAUGCCAGGUGGAACUCGUCGAGUUAGGGAAGUACUCGACGUGUCAAGAGAGGAUCCUAGGGAGUCAGUGAACACGUAUAGACUCGCCGAGUCGCUCUAGUGCACUCGCCGAGUCCGGUCAAAGUUGACCGUUGACCAGAGUUGACCAGUGUUGACUUGAUAGGGGUAGUCAACCUUAGUUGUGAAAGUGUUAAUUAGAGAUAUAUUGUGUUAUAGGAGGAUUAUAGCUCGGAGGAUCGAGCGCGAGUGAUUUCCGGGAUUUGCGAGUUAUCGAGAUACGCGAGGUGAGUCUUCUCACUAUACUUUACCUUGAGUAGGUAAUCAGAGUUAUGUGACAUAGUAUUUGUAUGCUAUAUGUAUGUUCUGUGUUGUACUGCAUUAUAUCUAUGUGAUUUAUGUUGUGCAUGUUUAUAGAGUUGGAACCGGAAGGUUCCCAGAGUUAGAACCAGAGGGUUCACAGAGUAGGGUCUACGGACCCACAGAGUUAUAGCCUCGAGUGGCUAAUAUGUGUUAUGUGUGGUAUUUUGGGGAACUCACUCAGCUUUGUGCUUACAGUGUUGGUGUUAUUUAUUUCAGGUACUAGUGAUGACCGUGGGAAGGCGCCGGCUUGAUCAGUACACACACAUGGGAUUUUUAUGAUAUGUGAUCUUGGGAUACUUUGUAUGACAUGGAUUGGAGUUUCAAACAUUGAUGUUUUAUGAAAAUUAAAUGAAUAUGUUUUUAUAU
rnacentral:lncRNA from 1 species